UAAACUAGGAGAUUCUCCUUGAGUUGAUAGCAAUGGAAUUUCAAUUCUGCUGAGGAGGCAGCCUAUCGGCCCACUCUUUUUUGUACUGAUUCGGUGGACUCUAGCCGGUGUUAACUCUGAUCCCCACCUUGUUUUACGAUAUGACAUCGCUUGUUGGAUGGGGUUUAUUGCAGAUCUUUUCUAUUUUAGGAUACAAAGUCUUCUCAACUUUUUUUAUGUUUCGGGGUUCAUUUGCUUCUAAAUGAAAAAAGUACGGCGUAGGAGUGGUGAUGUUGGUAAUUCAGAUGAAUGGUAUAUGUUUCGAGCAGUGGGAGGAAAUCAUUUCUUGUUUGCUUUGCUUUUUUAGUGCUUGUGACUUUUGGUUUCUCUUAGUGAUGAUUUUGGCUCGAUCUCUCACGCAAAUCUUAUAAGUUUGCAUCCGUACUUCUAGUCUUGUUUGCUACCAAACGGAACGGCUAGAGUGCCGAUUACCUUUAUUUCCGUAUUUUUAAUUGUUAGAUCAAAUACAAAGGUUUAUAUUUUGUUAUAAGCAUUUUGUCACCUCAACCUCAUUUCGGUUAAUGAUAUUUAUAUUCUUAGCAAAAAAAAAAAAGUCAUAAUCGAAAAAGAAAAUAACUCUUGUCAUGGUUUCUUACCGAAUCGAGUAAACAUGGUGACCUUCUUCAAAGUUAGUUUCUUGUAUAUAUUUUUGCUCAUUUUUAUAGUUUGUAAAUAACUAUUUUUGGGUAUCGCACGAGUUAGACAAUUACAUAGGUAAACGGUUUGUUCCUUUUUUUUGAACUCUA
rnacentral:lncRNA from 1 species